rnacentral:rRNA from 1 species
GAUGAACGCUGGCGGCGUGCCUAAUACAUGCAAGUCGAGCGAACAGAUGAGGAGCUUGCUCCUCUGACGUUAGCGGAGCACGGGUGAGUAACACGUGGAUCACCUACCUAUCAGACUGGGAUAACUUCGGGACACCGGCGCUAAUCCCGGAUAAUCUCUUGCACCGCAUGGUUCGAUAGUGAAAGACGGUUUUGCUGUCACCUCUCGCUGGAUCUCCGCCGCAUUAGCUAGUUGGUAGGGUCACAGCUUUUCAAGGCAACGAUGCGUAACCGACGUGCGAGGCUGGUCGGCCACACGAGAACGGAGACACGGUCCAGACUCCUACGGGAGGCAGCAGUAGGGAAUCUUCCGCAAUAGGCGAAAGCCUGACGGAGCAACGCCGCGUGAGUGAUGAAGGUCUUCGGAGCGGAAAACUCUGUUAUGAGGGAAGAACAAAUUUGUAAGUAACUAUGCACGUCGUGACGGUACCUAAUCAGAAAGCCACGGCUAACUACGUG